GAUGAACGCUGGCGGCGUGCCUAAUACAUGCAAGUCGAGCGAACAGACGAGGAGCUUGCUCCUCUGACGUUAGCGGCGGACGGGUGAGUAACACGUGGAUAACCUACCUAUAAGACUGGGAUAACUUCGGGAAACCGGAGCUAAUACCGGAUAAUAUAUUGAACCGCAUGGUUCAAUAGUGAAAGACGGUUUUGCUGUCACUUAUAGAUGGAUCCGCGCCGCAUUAGCUAGUUGGUAAGGUAACGGCUUACCAAGGCAACGAUGCGUAGCCGACCUGAGAGGAUGAUCGGCCACACUGGAACUGAGACACGGUCCAGACUCCUACGGGAGGCAGCAGUAGGGAAUCUUACGCAAUGGGCGAAAGCUUGACGGAGCAACGCCGCGUGAGUGAUGAAGGUCUUCGGAUCGUAAAACUCUGUUAUUAGGGAAGAACAAAUGUGUAAGUAACUAUGCACGUCUUGACGGUACCUAAUCAGAAAGCCACGGCUAACUACGU
rnacentral:rRNA from 1 species